GAUGAACGCUAGCGAUAGGCUUAACACAUGCAAGUCGAGGGGCAGCACAAGGUAGCUUGCUAUCUGGGUGGCGACCGGCGCACGGGUGCGUAACGCGUAUGCAACUUGCCCUAUACAGGAGGAUAACCCGUCGAAAGACGGACUAAUACUGCGUAUGCUCACAACUUGGCAUCAAGUGGUGAGGAAAGAAAUUCGGUAUAGGAUAGGCAUGCGUCCCAUUAGCUUGUUGGUGAGGUAACGGCUCACCAAGGCAACGAUGGGUAGGGGAACUGAGAGGUUUAUCCCCCGCACUGGUACUGAGACACGGACCAGACUCCUACGGGAGGCAGCAGUGAGGAAUAUCGGUCAAUGGGCGCGAGCCUGAACCAGCCAAGUCGCGUGAAGGAUGACUGUCUUAUGGAUUGUAAACUUCUUUUAUACGGGAAUAACAAGAGUCACGUGUGACUCCCUGCAUGUACCGUAUGAAUAAGCAUCGGCUAACUCCGUG
rnacentral:rRNA from 1 species